GUGAGUCAUCGAAUCUUUGAACGCACAUUGCGCCCGCCAGUAUUCUGGCGGGCAUGCCUGUCCGAGCGUCAUUUCAACCCUCGAACCCCUCCGGGGGUCCGGCGUUGGGGAUCGGCCCUUUACCGGCCGGCCCCGAAAUACAGUGGCGGUCUCGCCGCAGCCUCUCCUGCGCAGUAGUUUGCACACUCGCACCGGGAGCGCGGCGCGUCCACGUCCGUAAAACACCCAACUUCUGAAAUGUUGACCUCGGAUCAGGUAGGAAUACCCGCUGAACUUAAGCAUAUCAAUAAGCGGAGGA
rnacentral:misc_RNA from 1 species